GAUGGGGGGAUUGUUCUGCAUAUAAAAGUACUCUUGAUUGUUUCAUCAAGACUUUGAAGAACGAUGCUAAGAAGUUUGUUAGAAGUAUAUAGUCACCUUGAGUUUAGAGGAUAGACAGUGACGCCAGCCGUGAAGACAUUUUGGAUGGUGAUUGCUUCCAUAACCGAUGAAUGUUUAGAGAAAAA